rnacentral:rRNA from 1 species
UGGGGAAUAUUGCGCAAUGGGGGAAACCCUGACGCAGCAACGCCGCGUGAAGGAUGAAGGUUUUCGGAUUGUAAACUUCUUUGAUGAGGGACGAAACAAAUGACGGUACCUCAAAAACAAGCCACGGCUAACUACGUG